rnacentral:lncRNA from 1 species
AAAAACAACAACAACAAAAAAAACACUUCACUUUGACCCUUACAUUUAGUCCUUCCAGACUUUUAACUGAGUCUGACCAAGUGUUUCUGGUGCCAACAGGUUUGAAUCUAUUCAGGGGAACAGGGGACCAACCUGUGAAAGCAGGACCCGUGGUGGUUGUCCUUUAUUCCCUACGGUCUGGGGGCUUCUCGUGGGCCUGCUGUCCCUCCACAUCAAGCCUGAAGCCAAGAGGCUCCAGUGUCUACUGCCAGGAGCCAUCUCAGCUCCACUACUGGUCCAAGUACCCGAUGUGAGAAGCUGAGGCUCAGGAAGGCUAUGGGACUUGCCUGAAGCCACACAGCAGGAAGCAGAAUAGCUGAGAUCCACCUCCAAGUCUGCUGGACUCCAAAAUCUGUGCUUUCUCUCUGCUAGGCAAGAACCGUGGCUUCCUUCCUCUUAGGGGAAGGGCUGCAACACAGCCAGGCCGCUGACUGAAAUCUUCUCAUCCCAGGGGAUGCGGUGGCCACUCUCCCCAUCCUCUCCGUCCUGUGUGCGAUUCACCUGCCUAUGACUGGGGCAAGGCCUAGAUUUGUGGGAAAGGAUCCCGGCGCUGGGAUCAUGAUGAACGGCAACCUCCCUGCAGCAGCCCCCUCCCCCAACAACACACGCACAUCAGAGCUCGGGGGGGAGGCAGAGGGCCCUCCUUGCUCAAAAUAGCUCUGUGUUAUUAGCUGCAUUUAAUUGAAGGUGUUUCGAGGGCAGCCUCCACCGGGCCCAAACCAAAUGGAAAAUGACACACUGUCAAAUUAAUGUCCCCAGACCAUGAUAAAUGUCCGGG